rnacentral:rRNA from 1 species
CUUAGGUACUCGAGUGGCGAACGGGUGAGUAACACGUGGGUGAUCUGCCCUGCACUUCGGGAUAAGCUUGGGAAACUGGGUCUAAUACCGGAUAGGAACCGUCUUUAGUGUGGUGGUUGGAAAGUUUUUUCGGUGCAAGAUGAGCUCGCGGCCUAUCAGCUUGUUGGUGGGGUAAUGGCCUACCAAGGCGUCGACGGGUAGCCGGCCUGAGAGGGUGUACGGCCACAUUGGGACUGAGAUACGGCCCAG